rnacentral:rRNA from 1 species
AACAAAUGGCGGCGUGCUAUACAUGCAAGUCGAGCGGACCGACGGGAGCUUGCUCCCUUAGGUCAGCGGCGGACGGGUGAGUAACACGUGGGUAACCUGCCUGUAAGACUGGGAUAACUCCGGGAAACCGGGGCUAAUACCGGAUGCUUGAUUGAACCGCAUGGUUCAAUCAUAAAAGGCGGCUUCGGCUGCCGUUUACAGAUGGACCCGCGGCGCAUUAGCUAGUUGGUGAGGUAACGGCUCACCAAGGCGACGAUGCGUAGCCGAACUGAGAGGGUGAUCGGCCACACUGGGACUGAGACACGGCCCAAACUCCUACGGGAGGCAGCAGUAGGGAAUCCUCCGCAAUGGACGAAAGUCUGACGGAACAACGCCGCGUGAGUGAUGAAGGUUUUCGGAUCGUAAAGCUCUGUUGUUAGGGAAGAACAAGUACCGUUCGAAAUAGGGCGGUACCUUGACGGUGCCUAACCAGAAAGCCACGGCUAACUACGUGCCAGCAGCCGCGGUAAUACGUAGGUGGCAAGCGUUGUCCGGAAUUAUUGGGCGUAAAGCGCGCGCAGGCGGUUUCUUAAGUCUGAUGUGAAAGCCCCCGGCUCAACCGGGGGAGGGUCAUUGGAAACUGGGGAACUUGAGUGCAGAAGAGGAGAGUGGAAUUCCACGUGUAGCGGUGAAUGCGUAGAGAUGUGGAAGAACAGCAGUUGGCGAAGCGUACUCUCUGGUCUGUUACUGACCCUGAGGCCCGUAAGCCGUGGGGGAGCGAACAGGAUUAAUACCCUGGUAGUCCCACGCCCGUAACGAUGAGUGCUAGUGUUAGAGGGUUCCCGCCCUUUAAUGCCUGCACAACGCAUUAUGCACUCGCCCUGGGGAGUACGGUCGCAGGACUGAACUCAAGAUUGACGGGCCCGCCACAGCUGUGACCAUGUGUUCAGUUCCAGCAGCGCGAGAUCCUACAGUCUGACGUCACUGAACUCCUAGCAUCGCUUCGCUCGGCGAUGCAGUGCAUGAUCGUCAUCUGUCAUGAGUUUAGUAGUACCA